UACGGGGAGGACAGUGUUCGUGAAUUACUGGGCGUAAAGGGCUCGUAGGCGGCCAACUAAGUCAGACGUGAAAUCCCUCGGCUUAACCGGGGAACUGCAUCUGAUACUGGAUGGCUUGAGUUCGGGAGAGGGAUGCGGAAUUCCAGGUGUAGCGGUGAAAUGCGUAGAUAUCUGGAGGAACACCGGUGGCGAAGGCGGCAUCCUGGACCGACACGUGACGCUGAGGAGCGAAAGCCAGGGGAGCAACGGG
rnacentral:rRNA from 1 species